rnacentral:rRNA from 1 species
CCUUUAACUGGGGAAUAGCCCCUCGAAAGAGGGAUUAAUGCCCCGUAACAUAAUGAAGUGGCAUCACUUUAUUAUUAUAGCUCCGGCGGUUAAAGAUGGGCGUGCAACUGAUUAGAUAGUUGCGGGGUAACGGCCCACCAAGUCAGCGAUCAGUAACUGGUGUGAGAGCACGACCAGUCACACGGGCACUGAGACACGGGCCCG